CAGAGGUCUCAAGCGUUGUUCGGAAUUACUGGGCGUAAAGGGUGCGCAGGCCGCGCGGGCAGUCAAAUGUGUAAUUCAGGGGCUCAACCCCUGCACUGCGCUUGAUACUUCCGCGCUCGAGCUUUGGAGAGGAGUCUGGAAUUCUCGGUGUAGCAGUGAAAUGCGUGGAUAUCGAGAAGAACACUUAGGGCGUAGGCAAGACUCUGGACAAAUGCUGACGCUCAUGCACGAAGGCUAGGGUAGCGAACGGGAUUAGAUACCCCGGUAGUCCUAGCUGUAAACGGCGCACGUUUGGUGUGGGAGGCAACCCCUUCCGUGCCGAAGCUAACGCGAUAAACGUGCCGCCUGGGUAGUACGGUCGCAAGACUA
rnacentral:rRNA from 1 species